GCGAUUGCAUCCCACGCAGGCAGCUCCCUUCUGUACAAGCGAGGCUGGCGGUUACCUUUCUUGGGGAGACGCGUCCGACUGCUUCAUUGUGGGAGCCUCAGGAGCGGAGGAUCGGGUCCCGCCCGAGGUGACGCGUAAACCCGGACUCUCAGCAACGCGGGUAAGAAGGACCCUUGAAGUUCCGCGGCGACCACGUCGGCUGAAACCAGUAGCCCAGGACAAGUGGACCAGCCAGCAAGACCCAGACCAUCCAAACUGGCUGAUCCUACGACAGGACCCAGGUGCCAGUGAAAGUGACCACAGCCCUGCUCUGGUCACUCCGGAAGCUGACCAGUCCACGCACAGCCGAAGCUUCAUCAAGGAAGUAAAUGUAGUUAGAAAUCUUAAGCCCAGUAAUUUUCCUUGUCAUCUUAAUUGUUUUACUAUUAACCUGUCGCUUUGCUCAACCCCCUCCUCUGGGCAAACGUCUCUUGUCCAUUCUAGGUACAAACAUGCUACUCUUUCCUUUG
rnacentral:antisense_RNA from 1 species